rfam:Tilletia controversa strain DAOM 236426 scaffold_673, whole genome shotgun sequence.
GGGGAUAUAGAUCAGUGGUAGAUCGUUUCAUUUGCAUACUCGAGUGUGUUGAAAAGGUCGUGGGUUCAAUCCCCACUGUCUCCA